AGAGCGAACGCUGGCGGCGUGCUUAACACAUGCAAGUCGAACGCGCAGCAGUUUGUAGCAAUACAGAUUGUGGGCGCGUGGCGAACGGGUGCGUAACACGUGGAUAACCUUCCUUCAGGUGGGGAAUAACCCAGUGAAAAUUGGGCUAAUACCGCAUAACAUGACGAUGGCACAUGCCGUUGUCUUCAAAGGCGCAAGUCGCCAGAAGAGGGAUCCGCGGCCGAUUAGCUAGUUGGCGAGGUAAUGGCUCACCAAGGCAAUGAUCGGUAGCCGGACUGAGAGGUUGGCCGGCCACACUGGAACUGAGACACGGUCCAGACUCCUACGGGAGGCAGCAGUGGGGAAUCUUGCACAAUGGACGAAAGUCUGAUGCAGCAACGCCGCGUGGGGAUGAAGCUUUGGAGUGUAAACCCCUUUGACCCGGAAGAAGCCCGCAAGGGUUGACGGUACGGGUAUAAGAAGCCCGGCUAACUACGUGCCAGCAGCCG
rnacentral:rRNA from 1 species